UCCCUACGGGGCGCAGCAGUGAGGGAUAUUGGUCAAUGGGGGAAACCCUGAACCAGCAACGCCGCGUGAGGGAAGACGGUUUUCGGAUUGUAAACCUCUGUCCUCUGUGAAGAUAAUGACGGUAGCAGAGGAGGAAGCUCCGGCUAACUACGUGCCAGCAGCCGCGGUAAUACGUAGGGAGCGAGCGUUAUCCGGAUUUACUGGGUGUAAAGGGAGCGUAGACGGCAGCGCAAGUCUGGAGUGAAAUGCCGGGGCCCAACCCCGGAACUGCUCUGGAAACUGUGAAGCUGGAGUGCAGGAGAGGG
rnacentral:rRNA from 1 species